rnacentral:rRNA from 1 species
CCCUUAGAUGUCCUGGGCCGCACGCGCGCUACACUGACAUGUUCAACAAGCCUCCUAGUUCGACAGGAUUUGGGAAAUCUUUGAACGCAUGUCGUGAUAGGGAUAGAUCAUUGCAAUUAUUGAUCUUGAACGAGGAAUUCCUAGUAAACGCGAGUCAUCAGCUCGCAUUGAUUACGUCCCUGCCCUUUGUACACACCGCCCGUCGCACCUACCGAUUGUAUGUUUCGGUGAAGAUUCCGGAUAGGACUUUUUUGAUUUAUUUCAAUUUUGUCUUAAAAGCUAUCUAAACCUCAACAUUUAGAGGAAGGUGAAGUCGUAACA